CCUACGGGUGGCUGCAGUGGGGAAUAUUGCACAAUGGGCGCAACCCUGAUGCAGCGACGCCGCGUGAGGGAAGAAGUAUUUCGGUAUGUAAAGCUCUAUCAGCAGGGAAGAAAAUGCCGGUACGUGAUUAAGAAGCACCGGCUAACUACGUGCCAGCAGCCGCGGUAAUACGGAGGGGGCAAGCGUUAUCCGGAUUUACUGGGUGUAAAGGGGGCGUAGACGGCAGCACAAGUCUGGAGUGAAAUGCCGGGGCUUAACCCCGGAACUGCUUUGGAAACUGUGCAGCUAGAGUGCAGGAGGGGUAAGUGGAAUGCCUAGUGUAGCGGUGAAAUGCGUAGAUAUUAGGAGGAACACCAGUGGCGAAGGCGGCUUACUGGACUGUAACUGACGUUGAGGCUCGAAAGCGUGGGGAGCAAACAGGAUUAGAUACCCUUGUAGUC
rnacentral:rRNA from 1 species